rnacentral:ncRNA from 1 species
GAUAGUGCCAAAUAUUCGAAUGAGAUCUUGGAUGACUGAAGUGGAGGAGGGUUCCGUGUCAACAGCUGUUAAACACCAGUUAGUCAAUCCUAAGCCCUAUGGAAAACCUUACCUAUAUCAAGCCUAUAACAAAAUACAACACCCACAUGCUGGAUACGUCGUUGAUGCAACCGAUACGAUAUAUAUUGAAUGAGCGAAAGGGGAUCCAGUUACAAUUCCGGAGCCUGUUGGGUAUAUGUUAGCACUGGUGUCCCACUCGGUAACGGUAGUACCCUUAUAUUCAUGGCAACAUGAAUCCUUUUCUUCCAUAAACCAACAAGAAUGAUAUUAGUU